AUACGGAGGGUGCAAGCGUUGUUCGGAAUUACUGGGCGUAAAGAGCGUGUAGGCGGCAUGGCAAGUCGAAUGUGAAAUCCCCGGGCUCAACCCGGGAACUGCAUCCGAAACUUCCAAGCUAGAGUCCCGGAGAGGAAGGCAGAAUUCCCAAUGUAGGGGUGAAAUCCGUAGAUAUUGGGAGGAAUACCAGUGGCGAAGGCGGCCUUCUGGACGGUGACUGACGCUGAGACGCGAAAGCGUGGGGAGCAAACAGGAUUAGAUACCCCGGUAGUCC
rnacentral:rRNA from 1 species